rnacentral:tRNA from 1 species
GCCUCCGUAGCUCAGGGGAUAGAGCACCGCUCUCCUAAAGCGGGUGUCGCAGGUUCGAAUCCUGCCGGGGGCGCCG